rnacentral:rRNA from 1 species
UACGGGGGGGGCAAGCGUUGUUCGGAAUUACUGGGCGUAAAGGGCUCGUAGGUGGCCAACUAAGUCAGACGUGAAAUCCCUCGGCUUAACCUGGGAACUGCAUUUGUGACUGCAUGGCUAGAGUGUGUCAGAGGGGGGUAGAAUUCCACGUGUAGCAGUGAAAUGCGUAGAUAUGUGGAGGAAUACCGAUGGCGAAGGCAGCCCCCUGGGAUAACACUGACGCUCAUGCACGAAAGCGUGGGGAGCAAACAGG